rnacentral:rRNA from 1 species
AGGGAAUCUUCGGCAAUGGGGGCAACCCUGACCGAGCAACGCCGCGUGAGUGAAGAAGGUUUUCGGAUCGUAAAGCUCUGUUGUAAGAGAAGAACGAGUGUGAGAGUGGAAAGUUCACACUGUGACGGUAACUUACCAGAAAGGGACGGCUAACUACGUGCCAGCAGCCGCGGUAAUACGUAGGUCCCGAGCGUUAUCCGGAUUUAUUGGGCGUAAAGCGAGCGCAGGCGGUUAGAUAAGUCUGAAGUUAAAGGCUGUGGCUUAACCAUAGUACGCUUUGGAAACUGUUUAACUUGAGUGCAGAAGGGGAGAGUGGAAUUCCAUGUGUAGCGGUGAAAUGCGUAGAUAUAUGGAGGAACACCGGUGGCGAAAGCGGCUCUCUGGUCUGUAACUGACGCUGAGGCUCGAAAGCGUGGGGAGCAAACAGGAUUAGAUACCCUGGUAGUCCACGCCGUAAACGAUGAGUGCUAGGUGUUGGGUCCUUUCCGGGAUUCAGUGCCGCAGCUAACGCAUUAAGCACUCCGCCUGGGGAGUACGACCGCAAGGUUG